AAGAGUUAUUAUAAACUCCCAAACCCAUGUGAACAUACCUAUCGUUGCUUCGGCAGGUCGCGUCUACCCUGUAAGCUCCUACCCUGGAGCACCCUACCCGGUAGACGCGGGUAAGCCUGCCGGUGGCCCACGAAACUCUGUUUAAUAUUGAAACUCUGAAUCUAUAACUAAAUAAGUUA
rnacentral:misc_RNA from 1 species